rnacentral:lncRNA from 1 species
UUUCAAAUUAACGCGAAAGUGGAAAAUGUAAAAUUCUGUUACAAAACAGACAAUAAAAAAAUGCAAUUAAAGUGUGGACUCAGUUCAAUACUCAGUUGCGUGCAAUACACAAAAAUAGAUUUCCCUGGAUGCACCAGCACAUAAAAAAAGCCCCAAUGAAGAUAUUGAGAUUGCGGAGGAAAUUUUAAUGGGGAAUUAACAAACAGAAGAAGAGUUUGGACACGCAGCCGGUGGAAGCGAAGUUCAAUCCAAAGUGGCCUAAUUUUCAUUUAAAAAGAACAUCACCUGAACAUCGCUUCGGGAAUGUAGCAUGAAGUCUAUUACAUUUAUGCUUCAUUUCUACUCUGGUCUAUUCUACUCGGGUUAAGCAUAAACGCCAAAUGCUCUACUCGAGGUGAAUUCAGAAUGGAGUUUAUAUCAGGACAACCAAACCCAACUUUCCUAAAUUUUGGCAAAAUUUUAGAUAAAUAAUUGUAUUUUUGGCAAAAACUUAGCAACACAUAAACUCUGUAUCAAUCAAGUUAAAUGCAAAUCAGCUGAUUUCAACUCAGCCCUCGUUUAUAAUACCGAGUGAACGCCUCUGCAUAUGUAGAGAAAAUGUGUAUAAUCUAACCGAGAGACACCUUAACUCGUGGUGAAAAAUUGUCUAUGCUUGCGAGUUUAACUUACCCGAAUACAUUAAGCCCGAGUAGAAAUUAAGCAUAUGUAUGUAUAUAAUGAUCGUAAUCGGAUCAUCGUAAAAUAGCUGGAAAUUGUAACACUAAUGGGCUUGCACAUUUCGUUAAUAUCGAACAAUGCCUAAACGUACCACUUCUGAAUAUUUGGAUAUUGAGCCAACACAGGGAUAGCUGAACUAGCAUCCCAACUUGCAUAGUUGCGUGAUGCUUCUGGACUAUGGUUAAUAGCGGAAGCUCAGUAAGCCUUGAGGGUUUUCCCGGAUACCCACUGGCGCAGUUGUUUGGGAAAAACGAUAAAGGUACUUAUGCACUUUCUUAGGAACUGUACUACGCUUGCAAUACUGAGGCUGAAAAUUUUUUGUGAUGGCAUACAUUUACCAAGCCGAAGGUGUUUACAGAUAUUAACAUCAGUUGAAAAUACCGAGUGAUUCCAGGUCGCUCUCUGCCUGAUACUUCGAAUAGAGUGGAUGUCACUUCAUACUCUGUUUUUUACCAGCGAAUACUGCAUCGAAUACUGUGAAAGGCGGCGCGAUUUCAUUCAUUCGUUCGACUGAUCGUUUCAUCGACUACUAAAUUCGCCGCUGUCAAUACUCAGAAGACCACAAAUGAAGAAGACUCCGAAGAUCGACUCAUCGGAUGUCGACAUCGUCCAAAAGUUUUUCUACAUUGGAUUGUAAGGCUGUAAUUUUAUAAGGCCUCGAGAUUAUGACUUUACAACAGUGACGUGGAAGCCGAUUGGCAAACAAUUGAUGACAGAAUAUAUUCUUACCAUGUAAAAAUGCUCAUCUUCUGCCAAGUCAUGUCCAGCUCAUUGAGCGAAAUGAAAUCGCAUAUGAUGGCCAUGAGGCUUCAGUUCAUAGAACAUCGGAAAUUUCAUUGAAGAUGUCAGAGCUCACACAAGGUGUAGUUCAAACAGCAAACGGUGAAUGGUCCACCCUUUGUUAAGCACGGCUUAGGAAGAUUUCCUUGUAAGAGAAUAAAUGAGGAAACUUUUUAUUAAAAUUCAUCCAUUUUUUGAAAAGCCCUCGUGCUCGUACAAACAUAGAUAGGUUGCUUAGGGAAGCAAUUUUUAAUUUCGUUAUUUUAACACUCAUUAAAGACAUGAAAGAAAUACACUAUUGUUAGUAGCGUAAAUUUUCUUUGCAACAAAUUUUUGUGAUUUAAUUAAUUAUCUCUGCGGUUUUAUGUUUUGUAUUUUCUCAUGUUCGCAUG